UCCAUAUACAGGCGAUGCGAUAAGAUCAUGCAGAGGAGCUAUAUCGUCUUCAUAUCCCCAUAUUCGAUUCGAUAUAGCAGCCUUAGACGCGGGUGCUACAAUUCUACUUCUUCCCCUGGCCGGUGAGAGAUAAGGUUGAACCUCGGCUCCCUUCCCGUGAAGGCAAAACGCGUGAAAAGGAGCAGAUGAGUGCAGAUGAAAGGCAGCAAAAGAGAAAGGACAGCACAUGGAAUGAGAUGAGCCCUCUGGAGUGAAGAGUUCCCGGAGUUGAUGUUGUGUUGUUUUGGUCCCCCCGCGACGUUAGGAAAAGGCGGCGGCAUCGCGCAUUGGCCCGGACACGGGUAUGAAUGUAUGUACACAUAGCGUGUACAUAGCGUGUACAUAGGGAUGCACGCAUCUCUACCUCACUAGAGCCAUAUUGAAGGCAAGAUUCUGCAUAUCUCUUCAAACGGGUGCUGAAUGAUUGCAGCGAAGCCCUCAACGAAAGCAAAUUCCCUCUUGUCAUCUUGUCUGCCGAUUCUACCAGGGCUGGGCCCUGUCCAUUCCACUCCCACAUGCCAGUUAGGAGCACAUUGGUUUUGAUACGCAAAACCGAACAGAGGGAAGGAGAAGCAAAUUGCGGAAGUUUACCUCACCAAGGCAUUGGGUAAUUGUGGCGACUUGAAAUAUGUAUAGACACCAUGCCCAUGGAUGGAUAUCACGGCUAUACAUGCAGUCCAUAUGUGUAACUGAAAAUAUACCCUUCUAAGACGGACAGAAACAGACAGCAAAAACAUAUGAAUCGAGAAAAUAUGUUCCUUCAGAGGUCAAGUAGGCUAGGGUUUCAAGAGACAGUUGAGUGAUAAGUCAAAUCAGAAGCAACGUUUCCAUCACAUUAACAGAGAGGUGAACCUCUAGGCCUAUUUUCAUAGAAACGGCCAUAGUAGAAGGGGGGAAAAACAAUGGGAAU
rnacentral:sRNA from 1 species